rnacentral:rRNA from 1 species
GACGAAGGUGGCUAGCGUUGCUCGGAUUUACUGGGCAUAAAGCGCGCGUAGGUGGUUCUGUAAGCGGGGGAUGAAAUCCCAUGGCUCACCCAUGGAAUUGUCUUCCGGACUGCAGAGCUUGAAGACGGGAGGGGAGAAUGGAAUUCCCGGUGUAGCGGUGAAAUGCGUAGAUAUCGGGAGGAACGCCGGUGGCGAAAGCGAUUCUCUGGCCCGUUCCUGACACUGAGGCGCGAAAGCUAGGGGAGCAAACAGGAUUAGAAACCCCGGUAGU